rnacentral:rRNA from 1 species
CGUGUAGGCGGUCAGGUAAGUGGAAUGUGAAAUGCCCCGGCUCACCCGGGGACCGGCAUCCCAAACUGCCUGGCUUGAGUAUGGGAGAGGAUGGAGGAAUUCCUGGUGUAGCGGUGAAAUGCGUAGAUAUCAGGAGGAACACCGGUGGCGAAGGCGUCCAUCUGGCCCAAUACUGACGCUGAGGCGCGAAACGCUAGGGGAGCAAACGG